GACGAACGCUGGCGGCGUGCCUAACACAUGCAAGUGGAGCGACGAACCGGGCUUCGGCCCGGGGCAAAGCCGCGAACGGGUGAGUAACACGUGGGUAACCUGCCCCGAUGAUUGGGACAACCCGAGGAAACUCGGGCUAAUACCGAAUGUGCCCUAUGGCCUCGAAGGCCACUGGGGAAAGGAGCUUCGGCCUCCGCAUCGGGAUGGGCCCGCGGCCCAUUAGCUU
rnacentral:rRNA from 1 species